AGUAUAAUUUAUUUGUUGGUUACUGUGCUAAAAGCCUAAUUAUUUUUAUAAGGCCCCCGUUUGGAGAUGUCUCAAAAAAAACUAGAACUUAUUAUUUGGAUAUGAAAAUUUAGUUUUCGACAAUGCUACAAGAUACUAAAGGAUUGGAGCCUAAGUCUCGGUUUGAAUCCUAAAUUGCCUCGAAUAACAUAUGUGAUUAAUAUGAAAGAAUAUCGAGAGGUUUUUAACAGCAAAACAAGGAAUAAAUGAAAGGUGAAAUAGUACAUACUGAAUGGGCUACAAUGGAAUUAAGGCAAAUUGUGAAUAUUGAGAGUGAAGAUGUUAGAAGUAUCUCGAUAAAAAAAGUAUCAAAGCUUAAUAAUGCUCAACAAUAAUUCUAAUAGUUGCAUUGUUUGUUUGCAAAAAAAUAUAAUUGUAUUUGAAAAUUGUCAUCCUAAUUUGGAAUUAUGUAAUAAAGUUUCUGUAUAUUUGUGUGUCGAGAUAGCUUGGUUAGCUUUAAUAA